GGGGAGAGUAGCCUUCAAGUUAGCAAAAUCUUUUGCUGAAAGUUUCAUAUCUGCAACCAUUCAACAGACGUCAGAUUAGAAAGAAACAAGCUGAAAAGAAAGCUGAAAAGUAUAAACAACUCCACUCACUCUCAAACUCAUUUGGACAGAGCCCUGUCAAGAAGAGGGACUCAUCGGAUAGGAGUUCUUUCAGAUGAAGAACUUUAUACUCUUGGAGAUCCCUAAGCCCCUUCUUCUCCUCAGCAC
rnacentral:lncRNA from 1 species